ACUUUUAUUUUGGAAAAAGAACUGCUGCUGUUUCAAGACAUGCGCACUAGCUGCGACAUCUAGUGACGACAUUUACCGGGCUUUAACGGUUGUUGCUGCAUGAAGUCUGCUGCAAUUUCUCUGAGAUUUCUCAAGAUCAUCAGUUUGGACAGAAUUCAUUUGAAGAAUUAAUAGCACUAGCAGGUUCCAAUAAAGGCUGGAACAAAACAGAC